rnacentral:rRNA from 1 species
GUAGGUGGCAAGCGUUGUCCGGAAUUAUUGGGCGUAAAGCGCGCGCAGGCGGUCCUUUAAGUCUGAUGUGAAAGCCCACGGCUCAACCGUGGAGGGUCAUUGGAAACUGGGGGACUUGAGUACAGAAGAGGAAAGCGGAAUUCCAAGUGUAGCGGUGAAAUGCGUAGAGAUUUGGAGGAACACCAGUGGCGAAGGCGGCUUUCUGGUCUGUAACUGACGCUGAGGCGCGAAAGCGUGGGGAGCAAACAGGAUUAGAUACCAUGGUAGUCCACGCCGUAAACGAUGAGUGCUAAGUGUUAGGGGGUUUCCCGCCCCUUAGUGCUGCAGCUAACGCAUUAAGCACUCCGCCUGGGGAGUACGGCCGCAAGGCUG